GGUUAAGUUAGUAAGGGCGCACGGUGGAUGCCUUGGCACUAGGAGCCGAAGAAGGACGUGACAAACGACGAAAUGCCUUGGGGAGCUGUAAGUAAGCGUAGAUCCAGGGAUGUCCGAAUGGGGGAACCCAAUAGGUAGAUACCUAUUACCCGUAUCUGUUAAGGAUAUGAGGAGGAAGACGCAGUGAACUGAAACAUCUAAGUAGCUGCAGGAAGAGAAAGCAAAAGCGAUUGCCUGAGUAGCGGCGAGCGAAAGGGCAAGAGGGCAAACCGAGAAGUUUACUUCUCGGGGUUGUAGGACUGCGAUGUGGAUUUAAAGAUUAUAGAAGAAGACCUUGGGAAAGGUUGCCAGAGAGAGUAAGAGCCUCGUAUUUUAAAUAAUCUUUAUACCUAGCAGGAUCCUGAGUACGGCGGGACACGAGGAAUCCCGUCGGAAUCUGGGAGGACCAUCUCCCAACCCUAAAUACUCCCUAGUGACCGAUAGUGAACCAGUACCGUGAGGGAAAGGUGAAAAGCACCCCGGGAGGGGAGUGAAAGAGAACCUGAAACCGUGUGCCUACAACAAGUUCGAGCCCGUUAAUGGGUGAGAGCGUGCCUUUUGUAGAAUGAACCGGCGAGUUACGUUAUGAUGCGAGGUUAAGUUGAAGAGACGGAGCCGUAGGGAAACCGAGUCUGAAGAGGGCGGUAUAGUAUCAUGAUGUAGACCCGAAACCAUGUGACCUACCCAUGAGCAGGUUGAAGGUGAGGUAAAACUCACUGGAGGACCGCACCAGGGCACGUUGAAAAGUGCUUGGAUGACUUGUGGGUAGCGGAGAAAUUCCAAACGAACUUGGAGAUAGCUGGUUCUCUCCGAAAUAGCUUUAGGGCUAGCGUCGACAGAAAGAUUCUUGGAGGUAGAGCACUGUUUGGGUGAGGGGUCCAUCCCGGAUUACCAAUCUCAGAUAAACUCCGAAUGCCAAUGAAUUAUGGUCGGCAGUCAGACUGCGAGUGCUAAGAUCCGUAGUCGAAAGGGAAACAGCCCAGACCACCAGCUAAGGUCCCAAAAUAAUUGUUAAGUGGAAAAGGAUGUGGGGUUGCACAGACAACUAGGAUGUUAGCUUAGAAGCAGCUAUUCAUUCAAAGAGUGCGUAAUAGCUCACUAGUCGAGUGACCCUGCGCCGAAAAUGUACCGGGGCUAAAACAAUUUACCGAAGCUGUGGAUCCUUUAGGGGAUGGUAGGAGAGCGUUCUAUGUGUGGUGAAGGUGUACCGUGAGGAGCGCUGGAACGCAUAGAAGUGAGAAUGCCGGUAUGAGUAGCGCAAGACAGGUGAGAAUCCUGUCCACCGUAAGACUAAGGUUUCCAGGGGAAGGCUCGUCCGCCCUGGGUUAGUCGGGACCUAAGGAGAGACCGAAAGGUGUAUCCGAUGGCGUCUAAGCAGUGAGGUGUGAUAGGAGUCAAAUGCUUCUAUCUGUAACAUUGAGCUGUGAUGGGGAGCGAAGUUUAGUAGCGAAGUGAGUGACGUCACACUGCCAAGAAAAGCUUCUAGCGUUAAUUUAUACUCUACCCGUACCGCAAACCGACACAGGUAGUCGAGGCGAGUAGCCUCAGGUGAUCGAGAGAACUCUCGUUAAGGAACUCGGCAAAAUGACCCCGUAACUUCGGGAGAAGGGGUGCUGGCUUAAAGUCAGCCGCAGUGAAUAGGCCCAAGCAACUGUUUAUCAAAAACACAGCUCUCUGCUAAAUCGUAAGAUGAUGUAUAGGGGGUGACGCCUGCCCGGUGCU
rnacentral:rRNA from 1 species